CCUACGGGAGGCAGCAGUGGGGAAUAUUGGGCAAUGGACGCAAGUCUGACCCAGCAACGCCGCGUGAAGGAAGAAGGCUUUCGGAUUGUAAACUUCUUUUAAGGGGGAAGAGCAGAAGACGGUACCCCUUGAAUAAGCCACGGCUAACUACGUGCCAGCAGCCGCGGUAAUACGUAGGUGGCAAGCGUUGUCCGGAUUUACUGGGUGUAAAGGGCGUGCAGCCGGAGAGGCAAGUCAGAUGUGAAAUCCGCGGGCUCAACUCGCGAACUGCAUUUGAAACUGCUUCGCGUGAGUAUCGGGGAGGUGAUCGGAAUUCCUAGUGUAGCGGUGAAAUGCGUAGAGAUUAGGAAGAACACCAGUGGCGUAG
rnacentral:rRNA from 1 species